GAAACUCAAAAUUUCAUUCAAAAACUAAUUAGUUUUUAAAUGAAAAAAAAAGUGUGCAUACACAGAGGGGAUCCUUAAAAGCAUACAAUUGCAUACAAGAGGUGCAAGAAAUCAGUAGUUUUACUGUGUACGCACUUAAUGGAUGGCCUUCAACUAGCUCACAGUUUCUUUACAAAUUCAACUUAAGUAGCUCAACUUUCAAAGAAUGUUAGGAUAUCUUCAAAAGAUAACGUUAAAAACAUAAUGGAAAGUCUAAUGUCAUACAAAGUGAUGUUGUGCUUCAACAUGAAAGGGACCAAUCAUCAUGCAUGUGUCUAUACUUUUUCUCUUAGCAUGAUAAGAGAAAGAAUAUAGACACAGUAUCAGAAAAACAAAGUUUUGAAAAAUUACAACUUUUUGAUCUUAUCAUAGCUAGUGUUAUGGCAACAAAGGGGGGAAGCCGCAUAACAAUUACAAAAAUAAAAUGUGAAGUUCGAAAGAUUUUAAGAUAAGCACCUGACAAAGUCAAUGUUGAAGAACGUGGGCGUCGUAUAGAAUUAUAUAAAAAUAGACAUGUUUAAAAGUUGACUGUUUAAAAAUAUAUAGUAUCUUAACUUA